GCAGAUGGAGGCACAGCCGGGCGAGGGUUAGACCGGCCGUGGAGCCGGGGACACUGGCCAGACGCCCCCCACCUGCUGCUCAGCCCCGAGUGGGUACUGCCCGCAGACGGCCGUGAGAAAUCACCAGGUCCCAGGGACAGCUGGCCCUUCUGAGGGGCCUCUCGUUUCCAAAGACCUGUUUAGAAGCUCUUCACGUGCUCGAGAUGCCAGCCCUUGGUCAGGUCCUGCCCCUUUCUCUCUCCGGUUUCUUUGGGGACCGAAGUCUUCGCACCUUCAUCCCAGCUGUGACUCUAGAGAUGUAGGCUUAUGGCCUCAGCUCCCACUGCCACCAAGACAUGCCUGAAUCCCAGUUCCCAGGAGGAUGCUGCUUGGCCCAUCUUCUUGACCACGGCCACCCAGGCCACAUGCCCUUGGCAUCUGAGCAGCCAGCUGCACUUUGUCCAGCGUCCACC
ensembl:lncRNA